rnacentral:rRNA from 1 species
UACGGAGGGUGCAAGCGUUAUCCGGAAUCACUGGGCGUAAAGGGCGCGUAGGCGGCUCAUGAAGGCUGUGGUGAAAGUCCGGGGCUCAACCUCGGAUCGGCCGUGGCGACUCGUGGGCUGGAGCACUGUAGAGGCGGGUGGAAUUCCGGGUGUAGCGGUGGAAUGCGUAGAGAUCCGGAAGAACACCAGUGGCGAAGGCGGCCCGCUGGGCAGUGGCUGACGCUGAGGCGCGACAGCGUGGGGAGCAAACAGG